rnacentral:misc_RNA from 1 species
CGCACAUUGCGCCCAUUAGUAUUCUAGUGGGCAUGCCUGUUCGAGCGUCAUUUCAACCCUUAAGCCUAGCUUAGUGUUGGGAGACUGCACUAAACCGCAGCUCCUCAAAACCAGUGGCGGAGUCAGUUGGUACUCUGAGCGUAGUAAUUCAUUAUCUCGCUUCUGUAAGUACUGCUGAAAACGGCCAUAAACCGCACCCUUCGGGGGCACUUUUUUAAUGGUUGACCUCGGAUCAGGUAGGAAUACCCGCUGAACUUAA